GUCUGUGGCCAUACCACCCAGAACGCGCCCGAUCUCGUCUGAUCUCAGAAGCUAAGCAGGGUCGGGCCUGGUUAAUAUUUGGAUAAGAGAAAGUAGAAAGGCAACUGACA
rnacentral:rRNA from 1 species